rnacentral:ribozyme from 10 species
ACUCGUCAGAGCGAGUAUAAAUAGCUUUUUUAGGCUCUGAGCGUCCUC